AGCGAACGCUGGCGGCAGGCUUAACACAUGCAAGUCGAGCGGGCACUUCGGUGUCAGCGGCAGACGGGUGAGUAACACGUGGGAACGUACCCUUCGGUUCGGAAUAACGCUGGGAAACUAGCGCUAAUACCGGAUACGCCCUUUUGGGGAAAGGUUUACUGCCGAAGGAUCGGCCCGCGUCUGAUUAGCUAGUUGGUGGGGUAAUGGCCUACCAAGACGACGAUCAGUAGCUGGUCUGAGAGGAUGAUCAGCCACACUGGGACUGAGACACGGCCCAGACUCCUACGGGAGGCAGCAGUGGGGAAUAUUGGACAAUGGGCGCAAGCCUGAUCCAGCCAUGCCGCGUGAGUGAUGAAGGCCUUAGGGUUGUAAAGCUCUUUUGUCCGGGACGAUAAUGACGGUACCGGAAGAAUAAGCCCCGGCUAACUUCGUG
rnacentral:rRNA from 1 species